AACUUUUGGCAACGGAUCACUUGGCUCUCGCAUCGAUGAAGAACGCAGCGAAUUGCGAUAAGUAAUGUGAAUUGCAGAAUUCAGUGAAUCAUCGAGUCUUUGAACGCACAUUGCGCCUUUUGGUAUUCCGAGAGGCACGCCUGUCUGAGCGUCAGCAAAAACCUUCGGUCUAGCGAUUUAUUGCGAAAGCCGGUUUUGGCGGCGGGCGCCCCAAACCCAAGGACCUUAAAACAGUCUGGCGGGCGGGAGGGCCCCACGUCUAAAAUCAGAAAGCGAGUUGUGUAUGAUGUAUACCCGGGCGAUAGUAGAAAUAUGAUCGUUGUCGGUGGGAAACGGAACAACCGCUAUAAAACCAUUUUUAGAUUUUUGACCUCAGAUCAGACGAGGAUACCCGCUGAACUUAAGCAUAUCAAUAAGCGGAGGCU
rnacentral:misc_RNA from 1 species